GGAAUCGUAGUUCAAAUGAUAAGAGCACCAUGGUUUGUGCGGACGGACACGGGUUCGAUUCCCGUCGUCUCCA
rnacentral:tRNA from 1 species